AUUGAACGCUGGCGGCAGGCUUAACACAUGCAAGUCGAGCGAGCGGCGGACGGGUGAGUAAUGUCUGGGAAACUGCCUGAUGGAGGGGGAUAACUACUGGAAACGGUAGAUAAUACCGCAUACCAUCAGAUGUGCCCAGAUGGGAGUAGCUAGUAGGUGGGGUAAUGGGUCACCUAGGCGACGAUCCCUAGCUGGUCUGAGAGGAUGACCAGCCACACUGGAACUGAGACACGGUCCAGCCUCCGACGUGAGGCAGCCGUGGGGAAUGUUGCACAAUGGGCGCCAGACUGAUGCAGCCAUGCCGCGUGUAUGAAGAAAGCCUUCGGGUUUGAAAGUACUUUCAGCGGGGAGGCGUUACCCGCAGAAGAAGCACCGGCUAACUCCGUGCCAGCAGCCGCGGUAAUAC
rnacentral:rRNA from 1 species